rnacentral:rRNA from 1 species
GACGAACGCUGGCGGCGUGCUUAACACAUGCAAGUCGAACGGAAAGGCCCUGCUUUUGUGGGGUGCUCGAGUGGCGAACGUGAGAGUAACACGUGAGUAACCUGCCCUUUACUUUGGGAUAACUCCAGGAAACUGCGGCUACUACCGGAUAGGUGCUCCUGCUGCAUGGUGGUGGUAGGAAAGUGUCGGCGGUUGGGGAUGGACGCGCGGCUUAUCAGCUUGUUGGUGGGGUAGUGGCUUACCAAGGCUUUGACGGGUAGCCGGCCUGAGAGGGUGACCGGCCACAUUGGGACUGAGGUACGGACCAGACUCCUACGGGAGGCAGCAGUGGGGAAUAUUGCACACUGGGCGGAAGCCUGAUGCAGCAACGCCGCGUGCGGGAUGACGGCCUUCGGGUUGUAAACCGCUUUCGCCUGUGACGAAGCGUGAGUGACGGUAAUGGGUAAAGAAGCACCGGCUAACUACGUG